rnacentral:rRNA from 1 species
UGGGGAAUUUUGGACAACGGGCGAAAGCCUGAUCCAGCAAUGCCGCGUGUGUGAAGAAGGCCUUCGGGGUGUAAAGCACUUUUGUCCGGAAAGAAAUGGCUCUGGUUAAUACCUGGGGUCGAUGACGGUACCGGAAGAAUAAGGACCGGCUAACUACGUGCCAGCAGCCGCGGUAAUACGUAGGGUCCAAGCGUUAAUCGGAAUUACUGGGCGUAAAGCGUGCGCAGGCGGUUGUGCAAGACCGAUGUGAAAUCCCCGAGCUUAACUUGGGGAUUGCAUUGGUGACUGCACGGCUAGAGUGUGUCAGAGGGGGGUAGAAUUCCACGUGUAGCAGUGAAAUGCGUAGAGAUGUGGAGGAAUACCGAUGGCGAAGGCAGCCCCCUGGGAUAACACUGACGCUCAUGCACGAAAGCGUGGGGAGCAAACAGG